AUCAUCAUAGCAAAGCUAUUCUGUUUCUUAUUCUUCCUGGAUCGCCAUCUUGGCUUUGACAUUGUUCAUAAAGAAUUAGAAGAUAAUCUGUUACAAGUCUAUUAAUUUAAAAAAGAAAAAAGGGGGAUAGAAAUGAGGAGGAAGAUAGCCCUGUUCUUUAUACUGAUACUGACUAUUUCUGGGGGUCUUACCAAUCCGGUUCAGAAUGAAAGGCAGCAAGACACAGGAGGAUUGAGUAGAAGAAACGGUGGACGGAGUGGAAGGAUUGGUGGAUUUCCAUUUGUAAAUAGACCUCGGCGCCGAACUCGACCGCCAUUGGUAUCUUUAAGGGAUCGAAGCUAGAACUUGUAUUUCGACUUUAUCUCAGAAACUCUCAGUUUGAUAGAUCUGCAAAAUUGACCUGAUUUUUAAGCCUGAAAUAUUAUGUUUAUGCAGAGAGAGAGAGAGAGAGAGAGAGAGAGAGAGAGAGAGAGAGAGAGAGAUGUCUUAUGCUAUUUGACCAGGGAUUUACUUAAAUAUAUCUACUUUGCUGGUCAUGUAUUUCCAUUAUAUGUCUAACAUAUAGUCAUAUACACUGUGUGAUACUGUGUUGUGUAGUGAAAGGCUCCUAUAUGAAACAGAAUACUAAUAUUGAAAUAUCUUGCAAAUUAUUUUUCGCAAAUCACAAGAAAUUAUUUGUAUAAGUAUGAAAUUAAAAAAAUGUAUACAUGUUUCACUGGUAUAAAUACUAUUUUCUAUUUGUAGAAUGAAAGUUCUACCCAUCGAUAUUGAAAUAGUAAAUUAUUCACAAUAUUCAAA